rnacentral:rRNA from 1 species
UACGGGGGGAGCAAGCGUUGUUCGGAUUUACUGGGCGUAAAGGGCGCGUAGGCGGCGUGACAAGUCACUUGUGAAAUCUCCGGGCUUAACUCGGAACGGUCAAGUGAUACUGUCGUGCUAGAGUACAGAAGGGGCAACUGGAAUUCUCGGUGUAGCGGUGAAAUGCGUAGAUAUCGGGAGGAACAUCAGUGGCGAAGGCGGCUUACUGGACCAACACUGACACUGAGGCACGAAAGCGUGGGUAGCAAACAGG